UAAGCCACGCCCAAAAACCGCCCUAGGCCAAUCGUAGUUUAGCAACGGUAACUAAGCGCGGAGGACCUGACAAACUUUUGGGCUAAGUGAAGAUGCCGAAGCACUGUGCCUAUGGGUUGUGCAAAACGGACAGCCGAUACCCAAAGAGUUUGGAGGGUGGUGUUGUUUUUUUUUCCAUUCCCGAAACCCAAAACUCAAUACGAAAAAUGCCGUGAGUGGAUCAAAAAGUGUGGGAGGCCCCAAUCGCAGAUGAAUGUCUCGACGAUAACCAAGAACACUUACAUUUGCUCCAAGAAUCAGGUGUGACCAGCCGGAAACGAACACCUCAUUCUCCACCGAGGACACAUCACUACAGUGUGACUUGACCAACAACAGCGAAGAUCUCGACAACCAAGAGGAACUGAGUCUGCAACCAAGCCGUGAAGCCAACCAAGAGGAAUUGAGAACUCUUCAGGAUGCAUUAACUGCACAAAAGCAGGAGAUAAUUAGUCUGAGGGUUAAGCUUGAGGCAAAGGACAGGGAACUCCACCUUCAGAAGUGCACAGACUUAAACCCUGAGAUAUUGAACAUAAGCCAUGUGCCUGAUUAUUUCAAAUACUGCACAGGUUUUACCUAUGACCAGUUUAAUGUCUUGUGUAAUUUGUUUUCCAUUCCAACUGACCCAGAUGCACCACAAACACACAUUCCACUGACAUAUAAAAAGAUUGAUAAUGAGAUCUCAAAACUUACGCUGCGCAGUCAAUUGUUACUGACACUGAUGAAAUUUAGACAAA